rnacentral:misc_RNA from 1 species
UCACCCCUCAAGCCCCGCGCUUGGUGUUGGACGGCCGGUUGAGCGAUCGACCCCUCCUAAAGACAAUGACGGCGGCCUGUGGUUCCCCCGGUACACUGAGCUUUUCAUCGAGCACGUAUCGGACAAGGGCACCCAGGACCCGGUCCUCUCCUUUAACUAGGAAACUUCUAA